AGUGGUUAAGUGCUUGGCUGCUAACCUAAAGGUCGGUGGUUCAAACCCACCAGCCACUU
rnacentral:tRNA from 1 species